rnacentral:rRNA from 1 species
CGGCAGGCUUAACACAUGCAAGUCGAGGGGCAGCAUAGAGGUUAGCAAUAACUUCUGAUGGCGACCGGCGCAAGGGUGCGUAACGCGUGAGCAACUUGCCCUUAUCAGGGGGAUAACCAAUGGAAACGUUGACUAAUACCCAUGCAUAACCUUGAGGCAUCUCUUGGUUAUUAAAGAAUUUCGGAUAAGGAUAGGCUCGCGUGACAUUAGCUAGAUGGCGGGGUAACGGCCCACCAUGGCGACGAUGUCUAGGGGUUCUGAGAGGAAGGUCCCCCACACUGGAACUGAGACACGGUCCAGACUCCUACGGGAGGCAGCAGUGAGGAAUAUUGGUCAAUGGUCUGACGACUGAACCAGCCAUGCCGCGUGAAGGUCACGGCCCUAUGGGUCUUAAACUUCUUUUGUAAGGGAGCAAUAAGGCGCACGUGUGCGUCGAUGAGAGUACCUUACGAAUAAGCAUCGGCUAACUCCGUG